UGCCAACUUCAAUCUGAGGUGGCGGGGCCAAAGAAGAAAAGCCAUGUGCACAAGACCCACCUGGACUGCUUCCUCCUGGACACCGACCUCCUCUUGGACACCGACCUCCUCUUGGACACCGACCUCCUCUUGGACACCGACCUCCUCUUGGACACCGACCUCCUCUUGGAGGACGAGCGCCUGGGGGAGGGCGACGUCUUCCUGUGGGGCGGGGCAGCGGGGGAGCGAGACGGGGAGUGCUGCUUCUUCUCCGUCCGGACGGGGGAGACGGAGCCCGAGGAGCUCCAGGGCUGCUUGGGCUUUAGAGGAGAAGCUGCCUUCUCAGCCCCUACCUCCUCCGCCUCCUCCUCCUCCCCUGUGGAGUCUCCAGAGGCCCCGGAGCCGGCGGGGCCCGCCGCGCACUCAGGAGAGGCAGAAGGGGAGCGGGAGCCGUCCCGCUCGGAAGGAGAGCGGGCCCCCUGGUGGUUGGGUGUGGGCCGGGGCGAGGAGCCGGCGGGCGCGGCGUCUGCAGCUCCUUCAGUGUCCUCUGCCGUCUCUGCCUUGGACGGCGAGGGGGAGGGCUCCCUGUCCUGCCCUGGGGAGGCGCUCCCAGACGCCCUCUCACUGGAGCCAGACCGAGAGCGGUUCGGGGCAGGCGAGGCGGACUUAGACAGCGACCUCCUCAAGCUCUUACUGGGGGACUUGGACUGCCUCCCGGCAGGGGCCGGUGUGUGGGACUUUGACCUGUAUCGCCUUGACAACGAGCGCGACUUGGAGCGCUUCAAGGACCUGGGCGGCGAGCGGUUCCUCUUGCUGGGGGAGUUCGAUCGCCUCCGGGCCCCAGGGGACCUAGACUUGGAACGCCGGCGGGAAGGCGGUGUUCGGGACUUACUCUUUUUCCGGGGACUCCGGGACUUGGUGCGGCGCUUGCGUCUGAGCACCACGACGGAGCGUGAGCGUGUGCGCCUCGAACGCCUCGUGGACCUUGAGCGGGAACGCCGCGUCCGAGAGGGCGGUGGCAGCGGAGACCUCCGCCGCCGGGUCUCGGGUGAGCGGCUCCCGGAGCGCCUGCCGCCCCCCCGCCUCACCGGGGUGCGGGACCGCCUAGCGGGCCGCCGGGUCCGGCCCACCGAACGAGAGUGCGAGCGGCGGCCGACGGCGGUACGCCGAGGAGACCGCGUCCUGGAGCGGCGGGCAGCGGACCUGGACUUGGACCGCCGGUUUCUACGCGGGGAAGGGGACCGACGCAGCCCGCGUUUAGGAGAGAGCUUCCUCCUCGGGGGGCUCGGGCGCCGCCGCUUGGGUGACGCCGACAACGUCCUCCUCCUUCGCUUGGGAGAAGCGGAUAACGACUGGCGCUUGGACCUCUUGGGGGACUUGGCCUUCUUCUUUCUCUUGGGGGACAGGGAGCGCGACGUGGAGCGGGACAGCUUCCUGUCUCUCUUCGGGGAGCCGGUGUGGCGGAGCGGUCUUUUGGGAGACAGAGAAGCAGACUUCCUCUCAGACUUGGGGGAGUGGGAGGUGGAGCGCGAGCGCUCCCUGGUCUGUGGCGGUGAGACGGACCCGUUGGCCUCCGAUGAGGACCUCGAUCUCGUUUGGGAGCGCUCUUUAGAAUCCUUGUCUGUGGCGGCUGGAGCCCUUGUCUGCUGGCGCCUUGGGCUGGGCGUGGAAGACCGACUGUGA
ensembl:lncRNA